CGGCCUGAGGUCGGACGAGGCUACCCGCUGAAUUUAAGCAUAUUACUAAGCGGAGGAAAAGAAACUAACGAGGAUUCCCUCAGUAACGGCGAGUGAAGCGGGACGAGCCCAGCGCCGAAUCCGGCCGCUUAUGGAGCGGACGGAAUUGUGGCGUAUGGAAUUCGCUUCGAGCGCGGACCGGCUGCCCACGUCCUUCUGAUCGAGGCUUCAUCCCAUAGCGGGUGUCAGGCCCUUGGCGGCGGCUGGCCCGGGCUCUCGGUGUCUUGCCGGAGUCGGGUUGUUUGGGAAUGCAGUCCAAAGCGGGUGGUAAACUCCAUCUAAGGCUAAAUACGGUUACGAGACCGAUAGCGAACAAGUACCGUGAGGGAAAGUUGAAAAGCACUUUGGAGAGAGAGUUAAAAAGUACGUGAAACCGCUCAGAGCAAACGGGAGGGCCUG
rnacentral:ncRNA from 1 species